rnacentral:misc_RNA from 1 species
UUAUUUUCCUUUUUCUCAAGUGGAAGGAGAAUAAUAAAAUUUUAUGAAUUUUCUGCUCUCUCUUUAUCUGUCUUCUACACAAUAAAAAAAAAAAAAUUUUGAGUAUUUAUAGAUAAUAACAGCCCUAAGAUCAGCGGUCUGGAUUUAAAGUGCUCACGUUCUCCACCUCCCGACGUGAUGGAAGUUACUGCUAUUAAAGUAACCUGGAACUUGGAAGUAUCUGAA